UCCCCCCAGCUUCCCCAACUCCCCUCUGUCUCUCUAACCCCUACUCCUCUUCCAUUUCAACUCAGGAAAGGGCAGGCCUCCUAUGGAUAUCAACCAAACAUGGCAUAUCAAGUUGUAUGAAGACUAGACAUCUCUCCUCGUAUUAAGGGUGGACAAGGCAACUCAGUAUGAGGAGUAGGGUCCCAAAAUCAGCAGAAGAGUCAGAGAUAGCCCCUGUUCCCACUUUUAGGAGACCCACAAGAAGACUAAGUUACACAACUGUAACAUAUAGAGAGAGAGAGCCUAGGUUGGUCCCAUGCAGGCUCCCUGCUUGUCGGUUCAGUCUCUGUGAGCCCCUAUGAGCCCAGGUUAGUUGAUUCUGUGGGUUUUCUUGUGAUGUCCUUGACCCCUCUGGCUCAUACAAUUCUUCCCCCCUUUCCAGCAGGAUUCUCCAAGCUUGGCCUAAUGUUUGGUUGUGGGUCUCUGCAUCUGUUUCUACCAGUAGCUGGAUGAAGCCUUUCUGAUGACUAUUGGGCUAGGGACCAAUCUAUGAAUAUAGCAGAAUAUCAUUAGGCAUCAUUACAAUGACAUUUUUUUCCUCCAGUCAUGUUUGGUUCCUGUCUCCACCCCCAAUCACUGUGCUCUGAAAUUUUUUAGUUGGGGUUCUAAGGAUGAUCUUGCCCUCAUGUAGCCAAGCCCUUCACUGACUGAGUUAUCUCCUUCUCCCAGUCUUCCAAUCUUUAGAACUAUUAGGUUCGAUUAGAUCGAGUAUUCAGGAAUAGAAAAGAUGGAAGUUGCUCGCUCAAUCUUUAACUUUUACUUUUGGAUGUAAGCACCCUUAUACUUCAAAAAAGAAUACCAGUGUUAACUCAAAAGGAUAUAGGGCAAAAUUUUGUAAUUCCAUUUGCUAAGUAUAUGCAGGAUGUAUACACCCCAGCACAUGUGUGUGUGUCUGGGUGGUUCUCUUUAUUUUGAGGGCCCAGGAGGAUGAAGGGAGUCUCUGACAGGGUGGGCUACCCCUACUUUGCCAAUGAGAAAAUUCAGAGAAGGUAAACAAACAUCCUGCUGAGCACCAUACAUCCAACUAAGGUAUACACUGGACGUGAUUGGAUAGAAGCCUCAUGCCUUUUCACUUAAACAAGGGGCUUGGAUCUUGGACUAGGUAUAGACCAUGGUACAGACCAUGGUACAGGCUAUGGUGCAGGCCAUGGUACAGGCUAUGGUGCAGGCCAUGGUACAGGCUAUGGUGCAGACCAUGGUACAGAUUAUGGUAAAGGCUAUUAAAAUCUCAGCACUUCCCUCUUGCAUCCUAUUUUUUACUAAGAAAAUAUGUCCAACUGAAAUUUUUAGUGAAAAGAAGUAUUGAGAAAAUGACCCAACAGAAUUUUUCAUUCUAUGGCCCAAAUGCUUAGUUUCUGGUUUUUUUUUCAUUUUAGUUUAUUCUGCACCAUUCAGUGAUGGAAGCUUCUUCUGGUCUUGGUUCUUUCCUUGUAACUAUAUCGAUCAUCGCUGAAGACUACUGAAAUAUUCAGAGGAAAGUCAGUAGCAGGGGAAAAAGUCAUUUAUGUAUUAUAAACAUUCAGGAACUUACAUUUGCUCCUUACUUAGCAAAUAAAAUAUACUUGUGUUUUUAUCUUUUGAAGUGUUCUAAGCACUGAGAAUACAGAAAUAGGACAAAGUGCUCUGUGCCUUUGGGAAGUGUCUGUGUAAUUGGGGGAUAUGGAGAACAGGAAAGUAAAUAUGAAAGCUCCUCGAUAGUGCAAGUUCUGGGGAAGACAUGAAGCAAGAAAAGGAGGUCGGAAGGCCUGGGCAUCUAGGUUUAAGGGCAGUUCUUAUUUUGUUCAGGUAGUAUCUUUUCAGACUAAAGGGGGAGAGAGUAAAUUCAGACACCUUUUCUGGAAGAGAGACAGAUAGCAGAUGCAAAGGGACUGUGGCAAAUUCAUGCUGAUUUCAUUUCCCCUAAACCUCAUGAAUUCUUACCAUUAUGGUGCUAGAAAGACAAAAGUGAAGAAGGAAAUUAUCAUUUACAAGUGUUUCUGAGUAUUUUUUUCCUCAAUCUGGACAGAUAAGACCACGAACUGAAGGGGUGUCUGGGAGAAAGAUGUCUUCAGUGAAAACUAAAAGUUGAAUCACUUGUAUCAAGAGAGCUACAAACUCUCCUCUAAAUCUAAAUUCUAUUCGAAGUUCUGGGGACCAAUUGCCAUUCGCUCAGGUUUCUGUGCUUGUGUGAUGUGAAGGAUGAGGAACCUUCACAAGUCCUGGGACUUCACUGGAGUAAGCUGUAAGGUGCCAGCAAAGAGGAAACAGAGACAGCCCUCUAGGUCCUAGGCUCGGGGGCCCCCAGCAACGCAGCAGAGCCGCAGUGUGAUUGGGUGGGCCGCGUGGAGCUUCCCAAGAGCCACGCGCGCACUCGGGCGAAGGUGAGAGCGCCCGAAAAGUUAGAGCCCAAUCAGCGCAGAGUUGAGAGCUCCUGCCCCAACCUUCAGGUGACCCCGCGCGGCGGUGGUGGUGGUGGCGGCGGCGGCGGCAGGAGGCAGAAGCAGCAGCGGCUGCAGCGACCAGAGCCCGCAGCGGCUCGGA